ACUCCUGGCCUCAUGUGAUCCACCUGCCUCGGCCUCCCAAAGUGCUGGAAUUACAGGCAUGAGCCGCCAAGCCCAGGCGACUGUCAUUAUUAUUAUGCCUCAACUCCACUGUUUCAAACUCGCUUGAGACAUGCCAGGGGUCUAAGAGACUGCUUCAGCACUGUGAGGAUCCAUAGAGGUGGCUGGAGUCCUCCCUUUCCACCUUCACCCCCUAAGAGAGGGGCUGCAUCUGGGAGAGGCCACAGGGAGGCCAAGUGACAACUUUGUGUUUUCUCAGCGUCUUGGGGAGGGGAUAGGGGAAAUCCCAGAUGACUUUGGCUUCAGGGACUGAGUCCUGGAGACUUUCCUGUGCCCAGGAUGAGUGCUGUGGGAGAAGGUGAUGAGGCACAUCUGGAAGGUGCACAGCUGGAAGGUGUGGGAGGAGGCAAUGAGGUACAGCUGGAAGGUGUGGGAGGAGGCGAUGAGGCACAGCUGGAAGGUGUGGGAGAAGGUGAUGAGGCACAGCUGGAAGGCGUGGGAGGAGGUGAUGAGGCACAGCUGGAAGGUGUGGGAGGAGGGUGAUGAGACACAGCUGGAAGGUGUGGGAGGAGGUGAUGAGGCACAGGUGGAAGGUGUGGGAGGAGGUGAUGAGGCAUAGCUGGAAGGUGUGGGAGGAGGGGUGAUGUGGCACAGCUGGAAUGUACCCAGUGCCACCUGUCAGUUUCCCUCUGGCCCAGGGAAGAUGAAUCUUUCUCCAAGUGCUUGCCCUUUCACAGACAAAUGGGAGCAGCUGCUGGGGGUGGGGCAGGGGUGAGGGAUUGGAGGGGUGGGUCCGGGAGUGUGAGGGUUCACGGGAAGCUACUUUUACAUCCUUCCUGCUGCCUCUUGCCUGGCAGGAAAGAGCCUGGGAGGGCCAGUUUCACAUCCUCAGCUGCCAGUUCUGCUUUUGGAAGAAUCACAGAUGAUGAUUAGAAGUCCCAGGAAUCUUGAUGUGUCCGUGGCCUCCCCUCCCCAGCCCGCUGCUUCUGAGCCUUAGGGACAGAGAUGUUGGCAGAGCCUGGGAGCCAGGACCAGUCCUGGUCUUGAACUACCUGCAAGGCCUAGUGAAUCAAACACUGCAGCACAGCAAGUGCAUCCUUAAGCUGAAUAGCUCCAAGUGUCACCUCCUUCGGGCAACCCUCUCUGAUUUCUCCUUUUCUCCAAGUCCAGAGGGACUGGCCUCCUCUGAAGGCCGGAAAGACUCACUCACUCAUUCACUCACUCAUUUAGUCCUCACCUGCCAAGGACCUCCAGUGUGCCAGCCCCUUGGCCUGCCCCUUUCCCGUGGCUAACUUGUCUUGGAAUAACUCAAGUGCCCUUUACUGUGAAGGCCCUGCGGAAGGUUCUAGCUGGGAUAUCUCUUGGUCCCUCAACGUCAGUAAGAACAGGAGAGCCCCAGGUACUGGAGUCUCACUGAGCUAGACUCAGAGUUCAUUUCUGCUUUUUCCCAGCUGUGUGUCCUUCGCCAUGUUACCCAACUUCUCCCAGGCAUCUGUAAAAUGGCUUCACCAUCCUUGCAGGGUGUGUGGGGAAAGCGUCUGACACAGGGCCUGGCUUCCCACAAGCAGUAAGUGGCAGCCUUCGCUGUUGGGGCUUCCGGAGCCAGAUCUGUCCUCAUUUGUAAACUGAGGCUCAUGUACCUGAUGGGGGUUUGGUGUGAGGGAGAUGAGAAGCAGCCUGGAUGCCUGGGAAGCAACACGCACCGGACCCCUCUCCUCCUCCCUGACCCACCCCUGCAGCUGCUUAAUCACAGGCACGCACAUGCACACAUGUGCACACAUGCAAACGUGCAUGCAUGCACACACCCCAGGCUCUCCAGCCUCAAGGCCUUGCUCACACUGUCCCCGCGCUGCAAUGCCUCCCCCAAAUCUCUUUCCUCCUAUCCCCCUUUCAGAGGCCAGCUUGAGCCCACCUCUCUCAGGGAGUCUUCCCCAAUCAUCCCAGCCCUUGGGGCUCUUCUCUGUGAACCCCAACUUGUCAGGACAGCACCCCCACCCCACAACCUGGUUUUAAGGCCCUCAAGAGGUAAGAAAUCUCAGCCAGGUUUCUCACCAUUCCCCCACCCCCAUCUGGCCCCCAAGGACGGAGAAUGCCCCUCUUUGGGUGGGCUUCACUCUGCCCUGCCCUACCUGGAAUGUCUAUUCCUGCCCACCCCAGGCCUUUUGACCUCUGCUCAGCCUUCUCCUCCCCACUCUGCCUAGCUAUGGCCUCAGCCAGUGAAUCGCUCUCAUCUCGCCCAGGUUCAGCCCAAACACGUCCUCUUCCGUGGUGCAGCCCCCUAUGCCCCUCUGUGCCCUGCCCCCUGGGCUGGCUCCUAUCCCUGUGCUCCUGCUCUGUCUUGCUGAGCCCUGCCUAGCCCAGGGCCAAUCCGGGCACAAGCCUGUCUUCUACUUCCCGAGGCCCCUUCCCAGGCAGGGUCUGUGUCUGCCUGGCUGGCAGAGGGAGCAUGGCCUUGGGGUCAGAAGGCCCGAGCUCUCAUCCCAGGGCCAUCACUCAGUAGCUGUUCAACAUUGACCAACUUGGCCUUGCCCUUGGGCACCCCCACCCCCGUGCCUGAAGUGGCAUCAGCCAUGAAGUCCGUCUCUCAGGGCUUCUGUGAGAUCCAGAGGCGAUUGGGCAGGCGAACGCACUUUGAGAACUGUGACAUUGUACCAUUUGCUGCGCUGCCCAGCAGGCAGCCACGCUUGCUGAGAUGAUCGGAGGGUGCCAGUCAGGGUCCUGAGGCUUUGGUGGCUGCUGUGAGCUGAUCCCCGCCUCAGCUGCCAUGGGGUCUUGGAGGCAGAUUUGUGAGGGCAGCAUUUUCCCUUUCCACUGUGUCUGGGGUGGCUGCCCAGGGUGGAGCCUGCAUUGGGUGCCUCCUGCACCCAGUGGCUUUGUGUGGAGUGAGAGGUGGCCCAGCUGGGGCAAGUUGGCAGGUCCCAGCCUGUGGGUUAGAGGCCCUGGCACCACUGAGCUGGCCUGACUUGGAGAGUCACACAGCCCCUGGCCUGACACACAGUCCCCACCCAUUCCAAGCUCAGGCCUCGGAGAAGUGGGGCAGCAGGUGCAGGGAAGAAGUGUGCAUGGAAUGGGGGUGAGGAGCCCGGGGACACCAGACCUCCCUCGUGCCUGGCCCAUGGGGCGCCUUCAUCUCAUUUGCUGGCUGGGUUCUCACACUCACCUGGAUGUCAUCUGUGGCCCACAUGCCCACUCUUCUUUCUUCGUCUGUCUGUCUCUCAUCCUUUCUUCUUUUCAUUUGUAACAGAUGACAUAACUUGCCCCUGGUCCCACAGCUGGUUAGGAUCAGGCCAAGUCAGUCUGACCUCAGGCCCUGCUUUCCCACUGCCCCCUCUGCCCACAAGAACAGAGGGGGUCCGUCCUCUAGGACAUGCUGAGCUCCGGCCCUGGCAGAAAUCAGGCUGCAGGAGUCACCGUAAACCCAGGCCUUCCUCCCUGCUGGGCUUUCUGCAGGUUCCCUGGCUUUGUGGGAGCCCUGGGUCUCUCCCCCACAGGUUGGGGUGAUGGUGAGGUGGAGGGGUGUCCCCAAGGCAGUAGGCAUGAUGACAAGGGGUAAAAUCCAACAGAGGCCCAUGCUCCUCCACGCCUUCCUGGGGACUGUGAAGCUCAAACAGGGCCUUGUGUCCCCACCUCCCACAGGCCCUCUGAGCCCUUCCCAUGUGUCAGUCCUUCCUCUGUGUUCCCAAAACACCCUGCACAAUCAGCUUAGUAUUUUGUAUUCUCCUUGACUGUGAUCUCGGGGAUGGAGGAAGGCUGGCAGAAAAUCACUUAGCACAGCGCCGGGCACAUAGUGAGUGCUCAGCAGGUGUGAGCCAUUGCGUUGCUGUGGCUUCAGCGCUCCAUCCAGUGUCUGCCGUGGUGCGCACUCUGAGUGGGGCCCCGGUCAUCAAACAGCGCAGCAGCUAUGGGCACAGGGAGCACUCGCUGUGUUCCGGGCACUGCUCUGAGCACUUUUCACCCAUUGACUCAUCUCUUCAUGGCCCUUGUGCUGGACACUCUUCUUAUCCCCAUUGCACAGAGGAGGAAACUGAGGCACAGAGAGGAUAAGUGACUUGCCCAGGGUCACACAGCUUGGAUGUGUUUCCCAGCAGUCUUGCCUCAGAGACUGUGUUGUCAUAACUAUGUGCAGAGGAAAGGAAGAAAUAGACAAGACUCACGAUGUGGAGGUGGAAAGAAAGGCAGGGAGCUCAUGUUGACUGAGCAUCCUCCACGUACCAGGGAUGGUGCAUGUCACUGAUGUCUUCAGAGACAUCAGGGGAUUCGCCCAGGGUCACACAGGAGCCAAGGGCAUGGCUGGGAUUUGAGCCCUGGCUGAUUUCCAAUCCCUUCCUCCCCAUCCUGUCCCACCAGCUCAGGCCACAGGGAGCCAGCACCGUUCAUUAAGGGCCCCCUAGCUGCCCCAGCAGCCUCAUACCACAUAGUUGAGUUGGAGGCAGGACAAGGAGUCGCUCAGUGAGGCCACUCAUUACCAAGGCAUUUGGUUCUAACCCGCCAUAGAGGAGGAGUUUAGAGGAAGGAGCAGAGCCAAGUGGGUGACCUCGAAUAAGCCCAUUGCCCUUGGCACCCCUCAGUUUCCCCUUCUAUCCCUCAGGGCUGCUGUGUAGGUCUCAUGAGCUAACAAAGCUGGAAAUGACGAAAGCCAAGCUGAACAAAAGUUAAGAGCUUUGUAGGAAUAAAAAUACUUUUACUGAUGAACAUCUAAAGGCUUGCCUAAAAGUGUGGACAGUGGACUGGCAGCAGUGGCGGUACCUGGAGCUUAUCAGAAAUGCACAGCCCGGGCCUCAGGCUCUGCCCCCGUCCUGCUGGGUCAGAAUCUGCAUUCUCCCAAGCUGCCCCCAUCGCCCAUGGGAAACUCUGGUCUGGGAAUUUCUAGCUUCCAGUUCCCCAUUCCUGGAGGCUGCCUCUUGGGCCUUCUCUCCAUAGCCUACAAGGGGUUCUUGGCUGGAAAUUCCCAUCUCAUUGGAGGAAACGCCGUGGCCCAGCCGGACCCCAGCCCUGCUUAACUGCUUAGGAGUUGUGAGUGCAACAGGGUUCAACUGAAGCUGGGCAGAAGCUCUGACAGCCUCUGUCCCUCCAGCAACCUCUGAUGGGACCAACCUCAUUUGUUGGGAAUGAAACUCCCACCAGAAUCAGCAAGGCCUGCCAGACCUGGGACAGGGUGUGGGGAGGAAUGAGGGGGUACCCUCAGCCUGGGCUCAGGAGGGCUAGGGGUUUCUUCUGAACAAGUGAAGGGCGUUUGUACCAGGUAGUCUCCAUCUUCACACAGGAGGGCUAAAGGUUGAGACCACAGUUGGAACGUUCCAGGUUAGAAAUAAGCAACGUCCCAACUGAUCAGGAGCAAGCCAGCCAAGGACACUGAAGCCUCCAUCCCCUUAAACGUGUGGCCAGUGUGUGUGAGGUUGGUUGGGAGGUGGAACUGGAAUGGAUUCCUAGAGGUCCUCUUCCCCACAUCCUGCCCUGAAACCAUUUUAACCUCGGGAGGCCAAGGGACUCAUCUAAGGUCACACAGCAAGGAGCCCUGGCUUCUGAUUCUCUGUGCCUGGGGCCUGUCUUCAUGUCAGGCCUCCCCGGAGGCUGGGGAAUGACCUUGGUGACCUUAGUAACCUUUCUUGAAGCAGCCUGGAGGUUUGAGCACGUAAGUGGGAGGAUGGGAGGGGCUGGCUUUGUGAGCCUAGCAACUCUGUGUGUCUCACUCUGUCUUAGCCUUCAUGGUACUCAAGAUCAUUAGGAAUACCGCAGGGGCAGAAGUCCUCUGAGACAGAUGCAGUGAGUUAGGUCCAGAGGAAGCAAGCAGAGGCUUGGGAGGUGUGACAUUGGUGAAGAGGCUAGGGACCAGCACGGCGUAUCCCUGGGCCGGUUACUUGCAGUCUCUCUUUCCCUAUGUGUAAUGUGGAGCAGAGGUUAGACAAGAUCGGUGAUUCCACGCUGGGGCUUCGCGUUGGAACCAACUGAGUUUGUUUUGGUUUGGUUUUUGGUGCUAGAAAUUCGGGUUCAGUAGAUCCAGGGUGGGCCUGGCCACAGGCAUUUUCCCAGCUCCCCAGGUGAUUCUGACAUGCAGCUGGGCAAAAGCACCAUUACCAGGUCUGAAAUGGCGGGGUGCUCUGGCAGAUGUGGGGGUUGCAGGUGAUCAUAACCACAGUUCUCCUUCUGAGGUCCUGGGAAUGCAAGAUUACAAGGUUCCAGGAGACUCCCAAAUGAACAUUGCAGAGGUUCCCGCUUCUAACACUGUUUGAUGUUCAGUCCCAGAUUCCGUAGAUCAUAUGACUGCAGCUUUGUUAUUCUGGGAAGCGAGGCUUCCCAGGACGGAGGAUUCUGACACUUACAUGUUCUGGUUUUGCAACUUUAAGAGCAUGAGACUCUCUAAUAGCUCUAUAUACCUAAAGUACGCGCUUCUGAAACCUUCCACGUGUUUCUGUGUUCCAGCGUGCAGUAUUAUUCCUCUCCAAAAUGAGGACUCUCCAUGUCUGUAAUUCUCACACUUUCAUUAUCCCAAAUUCUAGAGACUCCAAGAACUUAAGCUAUUGUGGCACUAAUAUUUUUUAAAUUCUAAAUUCAGCAGCUCUGUGACCUGUCGUUCCAUCUGGGCAAUUGGCUGCCAAGGCCUGGGGCCUGGCCUUUGUCUCCCUGAGACAAGGUGGUGAUUGUAUAAGCCUGGACGCAUGCCCCCCUCACCUCCUUGGCCUGGAGGCCUGUCUUGGGGGAAGCGGGGAGGGUGGGGAGAGCAGAGACCCCACGGAGCUCUCACUUCUUUGGCUCUUCCUCCACACUGGCUGUACAGGAGUGGAAGGCAGAGCGAGUGCGAGGGGCACAUGUAACCCUGCGGCAAGGAGGGCAGUGGGUGGACAUGUAGCCGUGUCCCCAGAUCGCUUCUUGCAUCCUCCCAUCUUACAGCAAAGCUGUCAAUUCUGUGUCAGACUGGCUCAGACAUUAGAGGCUAUCACACCCAAAGCACCUCCCUAAACUUUCUCCCUCUCUCCCUCUCUCUCUCUCUCUCUCUCUCUCUCUCUCUCACACACACACACACACACACACACACACACACGGACAUGCACAUGCACAUAUAUGCCUUUUCCAGACAGGAAAACUGAGGCCCAGAAGGAGGAGGUGACAUGCCUGACAGAGCUGGCAUCCAAACCCAGGGCCCUGACCUCCCAGCUGUCAUUGUAUGGUCCUUUCCAGCUAGUCCAGACCAGGUCUGGCUCUCUGCACAGAACCAUCAGCUUUCUAUAGCCAAACUUCGGGUCCCUCCAAGGGGACAGGGGACCAGUCCUACGACUCAGGAUUACACAUUUAAAGCCUGUAGCCUGGCGGAUUUCAACAGGCCCAGGAGAAGCUCCCCCUGCCCCUGCAUGACCUCCUGGCCGUUUCCUGCCUGCCUGACCACAGUCUUCUGUUCCACUCCCCGAGGACGGGUGCCCGCCUUGUGCCAGCACACAUCAGGCUCAGAGGCCAGGAGGCAGAGGCUGGGCUGAAGAGUCAGGCAUGGGGAGGGGUCCCGCCACUCGCUGUGUGACCUUGAGAAAGUUCCUCCACCUCUCCGGGCCUCUCCAUGCUGGGGAUCAGUGGAUGGUAACUCACAGAGUUACUGUGAGGAUUAAAUGAGACCCCAGGGGAAAUCCUGGCAUGCUGGGAGGGCUGGUCACAUCCACUGCUCUCACUCCGUACUGAAUCCAUUUCGGGCCAGCGGCUUGUGUUUGUUGAAGGUAGCUGGGUAGACUUCCUUGUAAUCCUUCAGAGGGUAAAAUGAUGGAUUUCAGAGUCUCCUGGGUUUUCAGAAGGUUGGCAGGUAGAGAAGAAAGAGUCUAAAAGCCGUAGACACCUGAAAUGUAGGCAGGUAUCCACAUAAUAAUGAUGAUGAUGGUGAUGGUGGCUAUUGUUAACUGAAUUCCAGCCACAUGCUUGGCACUCAUGAGCUCCUUAAAGCUUUUUGACUGCCUGCCCAAUCGACCUUAUUAUCCUUACUUACACGGGGAAACUAAGCCUCAGAGCAUUUUAGAAACUUCCCCAAGCUGUUUCUGCCAGUAAUGGCUAAGUCGGGAUUUGAACCCAGGUCUCCAGGACCACACAGCCAGAGCUCUCUUUCAGUUUGAACUCAGCUAGAAGAGGGGAUGCAGGGCCACAUGAUGGACAGUGGCAUCUCCCUAUGUGGCUGCAGGCAGUCCGUGGCCUUGGAAGCAGGAAGACAUUUUCUAGAAGAGAUGAGAGUGGUUGCAUGUUCUCCUCCUUAGGUGGGAUCCUCCCAAUUUUCCAUGUGGCUGUUUUUAUCACUUUUAGAAAUCUAGAGCUGCCUGUGGCAGCCCAGCCUCUGGAGAUGGGUGUAGCGCACCGGGCUCUGCAUGGCCACCCACACCGUGUACAUACACAGGUCUGUUAAGGGGCAAGGGUGCACACGGGCAUGUCUGCCCCUCACCGAUAUACCUAUGCACACUCGCACAGAGGCCAGCCCAGGGGACCCGGGAACCUAGCAGGAAGCUCCUGAGCUGCCUCCCUUGGGGUUCUGCAGCCGUGGCUCUGCCUCGGCCACUCACUUCCUUGUCAGUUGACUUAAAACGGAGCUGGCAGGUCAUGCCAUGGUGCAUGCCACUCUUUCCUUGUGUGCAUGCAUUCAUGUGUGCGUGCGUGGCUGCAGACCUGUGUCCACCCAGGCCCAGUUCAGGGCACAGGCUCAGUGCCCCUGUGGAGGUAGAACAGGAAAGUCCUUGCUCCAGAGCUUCCACAAGCCAAGACUCCCCACGUGGUUCCUCCCACUCCCGAGAUUCUGGCCUUCUGGACUGCUGGGAGCCAGGGAAGGGCAGGAGAGACAGCCCGGGCUCUGUACGGGGCACAUGUGGGGGGCUCCAGGGACUGGGGACAGUGGACUUUCUGGGGGUACUGCCCUGGCACAGCAGGCCUCUGGGGCUGAGAAAGCUUCUCAGAGUGGUAUGGCAGGGUCCCAGGGCUGAGCAUGGCAGCUCCAAGAGGGGCCAGAGAGCCUUCUGGAAGUCUCCUGACCCUUCUUCUAUCCCCACAGUUGAUUCACACUCUCUCUGCACUGGCCUGAGAUCCCAGCAGGCCUGAGCUUGGCCCAGCCACAUGGGCUGUGUGGGCGGGAGUCACCUGGCCUCAGCCUCCUCCUCUGGAAAGUGCAGGGCCCGUGGGCAGUGGAACGAGACCGUGGCAGUCCUGCUCUCUGCUCAUCACUUUUAGAUUUCUAAAAGUGAUAAAAAUAGCCACACGGAAAAUUGGAAGAAUCGCACCAAAAGAGAACAUGCAGCCACUCUCAACUCUUCUAGAAAAUGUCUUUCUAUGUCCCUGGUCAUGGACUGCCCUCGUGCCCAGCACACUGAGCCCUGGGAGGCCGGGGCUGCCUUUCCCUCUAGACUCUGGUUCCAUUCUCUCCCUCCUGGGUUUUCUUCUGCCAUAGAGCCAACACCCCUUCCAUUGAGUCUUCCUUUGUGGCUCUGAAGAAUUGUUUUUGGGGCCCAGCAGGCAACUUAGAGCAGUGGGGAAAGCCCUGGGCUGCCACCGUGGCCUGUGUUCACGUGGUUCCUGCUCUGAGCCUAUUCUCACCUGCAGGGGAGUGUGUGUGUUUAAUUAUGGAACCAUGCCGGGGUGCCUGGCCAUGCCUCCAAAUCAGGUUUAAGGUGGACCGUACCCCCAGGGGCACCUUGAGCAGGCUCACGUGACAGGUUUAUAGGCGACUCCUGAGGACAGGAGCCAGGGCAGACAGUUAUCAUGAGGCUGUGCCAUCCAACACUGCUGCCUGCUGUCCAGUGACGGCCAGUCUCCUUUCAUCCAUCACUGCUGGUGCAGGACACAGUCAUCACCUUCCCUUGCACCACCCCACCUUGUCCUCUAGUCAGAGCCAGGGCUGUCACAGCCCAAGAGGGUAGCACCUGGCUCAGCCCCCACAGCCACACGGAUGAUUGAGGCCACACACUUGGGAGUCGCUCUCAAGCCCUCACUCUCUUCCGCCAAGGCUAGCCUAAGUGCAGACUCAACCUCCUGUGGUCUCAGGGGUCUCUCACCCUUCUCCCUCUGCCACUCCUCAGCCCUGACAGCACCCUCACCGCCUCCCCCCAGCAAUGUGGUGGCACCCCCUAACUGGUCUCCUCAUGUCCAACCCCUCCCUCCACUCAACAGCCAAAGAGAUCUCACCAUGCCAGGCUGACUUUCACAUUUUCAAUGCUUCCCUGGCUCCCCAUACUCCUGGGCUGACAUCUAACUCUAUGAUAUGGUCCAGGACUUUGAGGCUGGAGUGGCCUGGCCUCCAAGCCUCAAUCCCUCCGUGCUUCCUGUGGUCCAGCCCUUUGCACAGGCUGCCCCAGCCCCAUGGGGCCCUUUCCACUGUGAUGUCACUCCUCCCUUGCCAUGCUGGCCAGAUGCCCCCAGCACACGGGGCUCCACGCAUCCUGAGCACAUCCCAGAAGGUCAGAUCAGUGUUCAAGCAUGCUACUUUUGUCUGCGCGGUUAUUGUAUGUUUAUUGAGUACCUACUAUGUGCCAGGCACUUCUCCAGGCACAGGACAUUCCAUAAUGAACAAGAAAGAUGGGGAAAGAAUGAAGUUCUCAAUCUUUUAGGAUGACAAGUAGUAAAGAAAUUGGCCCAAUGGGUAUGCUAUGGUAGUAGGUCAUGUUCCGAGAAGGUUGUCAGGGAUGGUGUCUUUGAGGACAUGACAGCUUGAGUAGGGACAAAUUAAGCAGGAACAAAUGGUGUGGGCAGCUGGGGGAAGGGUAUUCCUGGCAGAGGGAACAGCAAAUGCGAAGGCCCUCAGUGAGGCACCGAUGUGCUUGGCCUGUUCGAGGAAGAGCAAGAGGGCCAGAGUGGGCCUCCUGACGGCUCCAGCUCAGAGGAGAGUUGGCUGGGAAUGGAGGGGCUGAGGCAUAGGGUUGAACCCAUCCUCUGCCUUGCUCUCCCUUCUCCCGCCUCCUCCCCCAGCUGGGCAGCUCUUCUCUGGGGGACACAGAUGGGUGCUUGUCUUGAGAGCCCCCCUUCUCCCCCUGCUCCUCCAAACACUCGCAGUGGGGACAGGAAGUGUCGGCCCUCGCCUUCCAGCUGCCCGGGUGGGACACCACUGAGCUGGGCUGGCCUGCUCAGGAAGGGACAGAGGCCCUAUUGAGCCCGUUCUCUGGACCAUCAGGGACAAUAGCCACACUGAGGACCAGGAACAGCGACCAGCAUGCUUGCCCAGGAAGUUGCCAGGCUGCUGCCUGCCCCAUCCCCACCCUCCCCUGCCCUCUGGCUUUCUCCCCCCGCUACUUCUCCCAGGCUGAUGGUCAUGUCCAAAUGUCCACUUGUCCUUCACCUGCUCCCCGGAGCCCCCUGUACUGUGCCAGAUCCAUGCUGGGCCCAGGGAAUCAGAGGGGAGCCCUACAGGGUCUCUGUCCCUGAGGAGAGGGCAGGGAGGGAGGUGACAGACACACAGACUGAGAGGGGUGUAUCCUAAGUGUUUCCUGCAGAGAUCCACAAGGUACAGGGGGUCCCUGGAGGGCAGGGGAGGUGUCUGCUAGGAGUGCAGUUUGGGAAGGCUCCCUGGAGGAAGAGGCAUACUUCUAAAGAGCUCCCGCAGCCAGGGUCAUGCCUUGAAAGCACAGCACUGAAGUGGCCCAAGCCAGGUGAGAGCUAGCCUCUGUUUCAGGCCCAGAGGUGUGCAGAAGCAGGGGCAGGACUCAGACUCUGUCCAGCUCUCAAGCCUGUGUGCUGUCUGCUCGUGGAACUAUUUGCAUUGGAAGGAUCUUUAGGGAUCGUCUAGGCACACGUCAUGUGUGCCUGCUGCCUCCGGCCAUGGCAGGGCAGGCACCACGACAAUCACCCCAUGCUUGCCAGCUGAGCUUGGACGUAGCUGCAGAAUCCUUCAUACCACAGUGCUCUGGUGGCAAGUAACGGGCACACACACGGGGGGAAGUAUUUGCCUUUCCUGAUUUUACUUUAGCCCCCCAUCAUGGACAGAUGGAGAAACUGAGGCCCAGGCAGGGAAAGGGCUUAUCCCAGGUCACAGAGCUUGUUGCUGGCAGUGUGUUGGAGCUAGGUCAGGGGCAGGAGGAGGUGAGACACGCCCACCUUAAGGAGUUGAGGCUCUGAACCGUCAGAGACCGGGAAUGGUUGACUGCCCUGAACAGAGCUGUGAUGUGGCUUCCCACUCUGAAGAGGGGAUCCCCUUUCUUCUCUGCCACGGCACCCCCUUUUUCAUAGCUCUCAUCACAGCUUUAAUGAUCUGAAUGGGAUACUUGCUUUUCUUUUCCUCCGUGCCUGGCUGUAAGUUCAUGGGGGCUGGGGUUGCAUCUGUCUUGUUAACCACCCUCCUCCAGCGCCUCGUGGGUGCCUAAUUCAUUGUUGUCACAUGUGGAGGGGAAGUAAAUGCACAUGGUGAUUGGUGCUUCAAAGCCUUCCCUGCUCCCUGGCUGGUGUUUGGCCUGCAAAGGAUAAGCGGGAUCCCUGGGGGCAGCUGGGAUUCAGGCAUCAGGCUACUCAGAUAUGUGCCAGUACGUGGUGAGCAGCUGGCCUUUAGCCUGGGUAGUCCCUGAGCUCCCUGCAGGGAAACUGAGGCCCAGAGUGCUACAAUAAUGAGCCAGGAGUCCCACAGGCAGAGCAGGGAGCUAAGCUGGGGUCACCUGGCUUCUGUCCAGGCUUCUGGGCACCCAACCUUUCCACCAGCCUCCAAGUCUGUAGCUCAGGGGCUGACUUUUCCCGACAGCUGGGCCCACUGGGAGCUAUGUGUGGGUGCCAAGGCAAACAUCAGUGGUGGAGGUGGGGGCAGGAGGUGCCUGCAGGCUCUGUGUUCCUUUGCCUUCCUGAACAGACGGGCCUGGAGCCCCUGAGCAGCCAGGCCUCCUGCUCCGUGAUCAUUGUUCCCAGUGAUAGUUUCCAGAUGCUGAGGAGUCACAGGUUUGGGGCUGGGCCAGGAGAGCCAGGCCAGCCCUCUCCAGCACCCCGCCGCCACCGACACCACCGUGGGUCCUGCUUUUCAAGCGAUGGCUCAGGUUCUCAGGCCCUCCCCAGACCUAUUGAUUCUGAGCCUCUGGGGCUGGGGCAGCAGUGUGCAAUGUACCAAUGCCCCGAUGGUCCUGUGUGUGCUCUUGAGCGUGAAGAACAGCGCAUGCUCUAAAAGCAGGAGUUUGGGAGUCUGGAAUCAGAAAGAUGAGCACAGCUGUGUGGCUUCAGAGCAAGCCUUUGCUUCCUGCUGGGGAACGUGGACUGGCACUCCCAGCCCCGUGUGUGGUAUGAUUACUGUGUGACGGUCAGCCCAGCUCCCACGCCACUGAGUGCCCCUCUGGGACAGGCAUUCCUUGGGGACAGGUCUGCACCCCAGCUGGUGCUCCACCCCAUCAGCACUUUAAAGGCGCUGGCUCAGACCCUAGCAAAGAGGCCAUGUGUGUGCAUACAGGUUGCAGGGUGUGUGUCCACCUUGCCUUCAGCAGGUGUGGAGGGGGCCCUGGGGUGGCCUAAGGGCCCUGGGGCACAGAGAGUGACAAGAUGAGCCCUGGGGUGAGCGGGCAGAGACCAGAAGGGUCCCUGCAGGCAGGGCAGUCAAGGAGGCUUCUAGAAGGAAGUGCAGCUUCCACUGGAUUUGGUUGGGAGACAAGGUGUGCCAGGUGGUAAGACCGGGGUGUGCAAAGGUGGGUGUGAAAACAGCUACCACCAGCCAGCCCCUUCUCCUUCUCCGCCCUUCUCAGGGCACCAGCAGGAUUAUUGCCAUGUGGGGCUGUCCACAGACAAGGGCAAGGAGAAGGUCAGAGCUCAAGGCCAUGCCGGAGGCAUGUGGUGUUGGCAGCAGUGGGCCAGGCCUGGGUUCGGAUCCCAGCUCUGUUGUUUCCUGGCUAUGUGACCUCGGGCAAAUCUCUUAACCUCUCUGUGCCUUGGAUUCCUCCUCUGUAGGGGUUCUAGGGAGGAAGGAAUGGUUGGUGAAGGGAACCCCACACAUAGCAGGAGCUGUGAGGGUUUUAGGGCCUGGGAACCUGGGGCUCAGGCAGGGGAAGUGACCAUUUGAGGACACUCCAUCAUUCUGCUUCCUGCAGAGCUUCCUGCACAGAACAGCCUCGACUGUGGAGAAAGGUCAGUUUGGCAACAUCUUUCCAGCCCCUUGGUGAAGAAGCAGGGUCAGCCAGGAUGGGAAGUGUGAGGCUUCCUUCCUCCCUGUGAUGCUCUGGAAAGUCACAUAAGAGCAGCUCUUUCUCUGCAGAGGCCCCGCCCCCAGUUGAAGAACCCUGUGAGGUUAGUGCUGCAAGUAUAGCAGCCCGCAGUGACCACAAGGGCCUCGCACAUGUAUGCACGUGCACAAACACAUUAUAUGCACCUGCACCCCCUCCAUACGGCUGGUUCUCUGAUUUCCAACACCAACCGACAGCGUGGCACCACAGGAAGAGCUGGCAGAUGCCUGCACUGGCCUCAGAAGCCCCUUAACUUCUGCUCUGCCUGGUUAAAGUUGCCACGGGUGUCCUUUGUACCUGUCCAUGGCCUCCCUCAGCAAUAAGGGAAUUGGGUAACAGCGAGAAAGACCAUGGUUCAAAGCCUGCUGCUCAUUUGCUCUGUGACCUUGGACAGGUGGCUUAACCUCUCUGGGCCUCCAUCUCCUCACUUGGAAGUGGGAUCACAAUGAAGCUACCUACAGGUUCUGUGGGUAGCCAGCCCCAGCAUGGGGACACUCAGCACUCUCAGCCCCUGCCUGUGGUUGUGACCGUCUCCUAAGCACUGUGAGCUCCAGCGUUCACCCAGAGAUGGAAAGUUUGCUUCUCUUUCUACCCCCAACUGGCCAGAUGAGGAGAUCGAACCCCAGAGAGAGGAGGUGGUUUAUGUGAGGGUUUGACGAGGCUGGGAGUCAGGCCUGCAGCCUCUUGCCAGGCAGCCAUGGGGGCCCCAGCCCCCGGGCUCCUGCCAGAGUGGCCCCAAACUGCUAACUUCAGCAUUUCACUGGCCAGGGCAGAUCAGAUUUCUUUUCUGGCACUUGGCCACCCUGCACACCCUUCCCCCAUCGCUAUUUUGAGCUUAGCUCCCCUGUCCCCUCCUCCCAGGGUUGUGGCCCUCACACCCAAAGCCUCACUCCAGGCUGAGGCCUUCCCACCUCUUGACCCACCACUUUCCCUCCAGCCAGGAAAGGCCAGGCUGGUCAUGGCCAUGUUUAGCCAGGCCUUGCCAGGGACGGCUUCAGACAUACAGCCAGGGGCCAGCUGCCCUAUGCAAAUGGCACUACAAGCUUAAGACAGGCACCCAGGAUGCUCAGCACAGCCCGAGAGGACAUCCUGGGAGCGGACAGAGUCCACAGCAGGAUCAGCCCCGGCAUUGCCACCUCCUACCCGUGCGACCUCCGCCCUGUCCUCAACUCCACUGUCCACCUGACACCUCACCCUUUGUAGGCACUGCCACUCCUGGUGUCCCCUCCACUGCUGAUGGAUUCUGAGCCCCAGCAUGGGCCUGCUGCUCCCGGAGAAGUGAAAGGUGUACAGAUCGCUCCUGACCAUAGCACAGACAGGCUUGUGGGAAACAAGAUGACAGUUUGGGGAAUUUCUUUUAAAUUUGGGAUGAAAUCUGAGUUUGGCAAGCUGGAGUCUGGGUCAAGGCAGGACAUGGCCUAGGACAGAUCAUGUCUCUUGCCUCUCCUGGAGCCAAGCGAGUGGUGCAGGCCACAAAGCCCGCUGGAAGUUCGGGGAAGCGGGUCCCCUGGAAGCUUGAGGAGCAGGACGUCUCCAGGGCAUGGGUUCUUGGCACCGCGCCAGCCAGCCUGCGACUCAGCAGUACGGUGAGCUCCUGAGGAGGACAUUUGCCUUCUCUGGGCCAGGGAGACCAGAGUGCCCUGGAGCUUGCUCGUGAAGGGUGCAUGGUCGUUCACCGGUGAAGCGUUGGGCACAGGGAGCAGCAGGAUAAAGGCCCAGACAGGCAGCAUGUCACUUGCAGGGAGUGACUUUUCUUUGAGUGUAAGUGCUGCUGGUGUAAGGUCAGCUGGGGCCAGAGGGGGAAGGGACCCGAAUGCCUUGUGUGUUUUGUCUUAGCUCUGUGGUGAGGCCCAAAUCUGAAGCAGGCCUUCCUUUAAGUAUUUGGGGAGACUCCGCCUGGCCCACCUGGGGAGGUGACUGCAGCAGGAGAGAGGGGUGCAGUCAGAAGAAAGCCCUCACUGAACACAUGGGACCCAAAGAGGGAUGUGCCAGACCUGGCAACAAAUGGUUUUCAGACUCAGGAGUCCCCUCCAGCAAUGAGCGGACUACAGGCUACUUGCAAAUCUUCCAUCCACCCACCAGGGCAGCCAGCAAUCCCUGUCUCUGCAGUGGCGGAGGAAACCUCUGUCUUUUGCAAUCCCUGUGAUUCGGAAGCUUUCCACCCCUCUGGACCGGCCCCUCUUCCCCUCCCGCCCCGCCGCUCUGAUCCGUGUGGUUUGCUAAGGGAGGAAAGCCAGAGCAGGAAACAGAUAACUUAGGGAGUGGCUGUUCAUGUGAUUAAAAUGUCUUUGCUUUCCAAAAA